UACAGAGGUCUCAAGCGUUGUUCGGAUUCAUUGGGCGUAAAGGGUGCGUAGGCGGCGCGGUAAGUCGGGUGUGAAAUCUUGGAGCUUAACUCCGAAACUGCAUUCGAUACUGCCGUGCUUGAGGACUGGAGAGGAGACUGGAAUUUACGGUGUAGCGGUGAAAUGCGUAGAUAUCGUAAGGAAGACCAGUGGCGAAGGCGGGUCUCUGGGCAUCUCCUGACGCUGAGGCGCGAAAGCGUGGGGAGCAAACGGG
rnacentral:rRNA from 1 species